UACGUAGGGAGCAAGCGUUGUUCGGAUUUACUGGGCGUAAAGGGCGCGUAGGCGGCAAAUUAAGUCAGCUGUGAAAUCUCCGAGCUUAACUCGGAACGGUCAGCUGAUACUGAUCUGCUAGAGUGCGGAAGGGGCAAUCGGAAUUCUUGGUGUAGCGGUGAAAUGCGUAGAUAUCAAGAGGAACACCUGAGGCGAAGGCGGGUUGCUAGGCUGACACUGACGCUGACAGCGCGAAAGCCAGGGGAGCAAACGGG
rnacentral:rRNA from 1 species